UACGAAGGGGGCUAGCGUUGUUCGGAAUUACUGGGCGUAAAGGGCGCGUAGGCGGUGCCUCAAGUCAGGCGUGAAAGCCCCGGGCUCAACCUGGGAACCGCGCUUGAGACUGGAGUACUAGAGUUCGGGAGAGGAUGGUGGAAUUCCCAGUGUAGAGGUGAAAUUCGUAGAUAUCAGGAGGAACACCGGUGGUGUAGACGGCUCUCUGGACCGUAACUGACGCUGAAACACGAAAGCGUGGGUAGCAAACAGG
rnacentral:rRNA from 1 species